AACGAACGCUGGCGGCAUGCCUAACACAUGCAAGUCGAACGAGACCUUCGGGUCUAGUGGCGCACGGGUGCGUAACGCGUGGGAACCUGCCCUUAGGUUCGGAAUAACUCCCCGAAAGGGGUGCUAAUACCGGAUAAUGUCUUCGGACCAAAGAUUUAUCGCCUUUGGAUGGGCCCGCGUUGGAUUAGUUAGUUGGUAGGGUCAAAGCCUACCAAGGCGACGAUGCAUAGCUGGUCUGAGAGGCUGAUCAGCCACACUGGGACUGAGACACGGCCCAGACUCCUACGGUAGGUAGCAGUAGGGAAUCUUCCGCGAUGGGCGAAAGCCUGACGGAGCAACGCGGCGUGAGUCAUGAAGGUGUUCGGAUCGGAAAACUCUGUUAUUCGGGAAGAACAAAUGUUUAAGUACCCAUGCUCGUCUUGACGGUACCGAAUCAGAAAGCCACGGCUAACUACGUG
rnacentral:rRNA from 1 species